rnacentral:rRNA from 1 species
AACGAACGCUGGCGGCAUGCCUAACACAUGCAAGUCGAACGAAACCUCCGGGUCUUUUGGCGCACGUCUGCGUAACGCGUGGGAACCUGCCCUUAGGUUCGGAAUAACUCCCCGAAAGGGGUGCUAAUACCGGAUAAUGUCUUCCGACCAAAGAUUUAUCGCCUUUGGAUGGGCCCUCGUUGGAUUAGCUAGUUGGGAGGGUAAAAGCCUACCAAGGCGACGAUCGCUAGCUGGUCUGGGAGGAUGAUCCGCCACGCUGGGACUGAGACACGGCCCAGAACCGUACGCGAGGGAGGAGAGGGUAAUAUUGGACAAUGGGGGAAAGUGUGGUCCAGCCAUGCGGCGUAAGUGAUGCUGGCCGUAGGGAACUAAAGUUCUUUUAGCCGGGAUGAUAAUGACGGUACCGGGAGAAUAAGCUCCGGCUAACUCCGUG